rnacentral:rRNA from 1 species
UACGUAGGGUGCAAGCGUUGUCCGGAAUUAUUGGGCGUAAAGAGCUCGUAGGCGGUUUGUCGCGUCUGCUGUGAAAACUCGGGGCUUAACUCCGGGCCUGCAGUGGGGUACGGGCAGACUAGAGUGCGGUAGGGGAGACUGGAAUUCCUGGUGUAGCGGUGAAAUGCGCAGAUAUCAGGAGGAACACCGGGUGGCGAAGGCGGGUCUCUGGGCCGUAACUGACGCUGAGGAGCGAAAGCGUGGGGAGCGAACAGG